rnacentral:sRNA from 2 species
GUUCGGUGGAAACGAGAAUAAAACGUGAAGGAUAACGUUGCGUCAGCAACGGCCCGUAGGGCGAGGCGAAGCCGAGUCAUCCUGCACGACCCACUA